CAUUUUUCUUGGUCUUAUCAACCUGUUGACAUGGAAAGAAUAUUAGAAGGGAAAAGAAUGUCAAUGAUGUUUUCUACCUCAGUUCAGUUUCAAACAAAAGAUAUUACAAGCAGAAAAAAGAACAAACUAGGUAGAAUCGCAACCAUUUAUUGGGAUCUAGAUACAUGCCCCAGAAAAGAGGGCUGGCAAAGGGCAUAGAGAAAAGCAGUGGAGGAUGAUAAGGGAGUUCAUGAGGCCCUGGAGGAAACCAGCAUUUUAAAUAAGCACAACAAAACCCCACUUAAUACUGACAGUGUUUAUGCGUUGCAUAUUGUGAAGUGCCAGUAUUUUCCAAACAGGAAAAUCGCCCAGUUGCAUUUAAGAACUCUUGUUGAUCAAUGAAUGUUCAAACCAAACAUAUUCAGAAUGUAUUAGCUAGGACCUACCUUGGGACCAGCAGCAGAGAUCUGGGUUUUCACAUGCUCAGCAAACAGAUGCUUUUCUCCAUUUUCUCUAUGAAGAUGGUUGGGAACUACAAAGGGAGCUUUUUCUGUCUGCUGUAACUUCACUACCAAAGUUUUAUUGUCAAGUGCUAAUGAUGUCAUCUGCAUAUAUUGCAAAACCAUCAGUCUAA